rnacentral:rRNA from 1 species
CCUACGGGGUGCAGCAGUGGGGAAUAUUGGACAAUGGGCGAAAGCCUGAUCCAGCCAUGCCGCGUGUGUGAAGAAGGCCUUCGGGUUGUAAAGCACUUUCAGUGGGGAAGAAAGCCUUGGGGCUAAUACCCUCGAGGAAGGACAUCACCCACAGAAGAAGCACCGGCUAACUCCGUGCCAGCAGCCGCGGUAAUACGGAGGGUGCGAGCGUUAAUCGGAAUUACUGGGCGUAAAGCGCGCGUAGGCGGUCUGAUAAGCCGGUUGUGAAAGCCCCGGGCUCAACCUGGGAACGGCAUCCGGAACUGUCAGGCUAGAGUGCAGGAGAGGAAGGUAGAAUUCCCGGUGUAGCGGUGAAAUGCGUAGAGAUCGGGAGGAAUACCAGUGGCGAAGGCGGUCUUCUGGACUGACACUGACGCUGAGGUGCGAAAGCGUGGGUAGCAAACAGGAUUAGAUACCCGGGUAGUC